UACGUAGGGGGCUAGCGUUGUCCGGAAUCAUUGGGCGUAAAGCGCGUGUAGGCGGUCCGGUAAGUCCGCUGUGAAAGUCGGGGGCCCAACCCUCGGAUGCCGGUGGAUACUGUCGGGCUUGAGUACGGAAGAGGCGAGUGGAAUUCCUGGUGUAGCGGUGAAAUGCGCAGAUAUCAGGGGGAACACCAAUUGCGAAGGCAGCUCGCUGGGACGUUACUGACGCUGAGACGCGAAAGCGUGGGGAGCAAACAGG
rnacentral:rRNA from 1 species